ensembl:lncRNA
GUUGGUGUUGGUGUUGGUGUUGGUGUUGGUGUUGGUGUUGGUGUUGGUGUUGGUGUUGGUACGGUAACUGAUACAUACAUGAAAAAAAACGAAAUAAAAUAUUAUAAUAAUAAAACAUAUAAUUCGAUUAACUCGUAUGGUAGUAGUGAAAGGAAUAAUAAUAAUAAUAAUAAAAUUAACAUUACAGAUGAGUUUAAUAAAAAAGAUACUGUUAGUGGUUGCUAUAGCAGUUAUUACCAUAACAACAAACACAACAGUUAUCAUAAUAAAAACCAAAAUAUUACUAACAAUCGUAAUUCUGUUAGUAACCAUAGUGACAAGAACAGUCAAAAAAACAUCAUUAAGCACAUAUGCGAUGAACAAAAAGUGAUUUUGAGGAAAAUACAAAUGGAUGAAUAUAUACGUCAUAUAUUUAAUUGUAUUGUAAAAGAAUGCGACACAUAUUUGAACAUCGAAAUGUUAUAUACUUUCCACACAUUUGGAAUGAAAUUUUUUUUUAAUUUGUUAAAAAGUCUUUUAUUAAAGAAAAAACAAUUAGAAGACGAGUUUUUAAUUAUGUUGAUGUAUGGUGCAUAUAAAAUAGGUAAUGAUGAAAUUAUUUCUUUUUGUUUUUGGAGAUUGAUAAGUAUAUUUGAUAAUGAUUGUCUACCAUCUAAUUGGGUUAUUCUUGACGAGCUUAAACAAAAUGAUAUUUGUACAGGUAAUAGUAGUACAUUUAAUAAUACUAAUGGAGUAAGUAGCGUAGUGAGUAGUGCAGUGAGUAAUGCAAUUAGUAAUGUCAUGAAGGGUGGAAAUAGUAGCAUUAAUAACACAUUGCAAUUUAAAAAAAAAUAUAAUGAACUUAUAAAAAUAAUUACAGAAAGAAAAGCAAAGCAACGAAAAGAAAAAUGUACUAGUGCUUUAUUUUAUGAAGUGGUAAAUUUAUUUCAAGAUGAAAAUAUUGAUAAUAUAACUGAAAUUGACAUACAUAAUGGUAACUUUUAUUUUAAAAAAAAUUUAAUUGAUAAAAAUAUUUUUAUAAAUUUGAUUAACAAAACAAAAAAAGAUUUUUUUGAAUAUAAUUAUAUACCUAAAGGUUAUGUAAUACAUGAAGUUCAACGGAUACCAAAUUAUAAUAACUAUUACUCUUGUUAUAUUUUAAGAAAUGAUAAAAAAGAAAAAAUAUUAAUCGGAUUCAAAAAGCGAGGGUCUAACAAAGUGUAUAUAUAUAAAUAUGAUAAAAAAAUAAAAAAAAAAUAUGAAACAAUAAAUAAAUAUUUUAAUAUACCUGGGUUUUUAGGUAUAUUAAUAUGUAAUUUUACAGGCAUGAAAAUUAAAAUAUAUGAUAAUGGUAUAUGUUCAAAAUUUGCAUCUUUUUUCCCCAACUUUGAAAAAAAAAACAUAAUCACAAUAAAAUUUGAAUCUAAUAUUAUAAGCGAGUUACCAAGACAUUUUAUUUGUAAUAUAUAUAAAGAGAAUAAAGAUAUCAAAAUUAUUUAUGAAAAUAAAUGUCCUACAUGGAAUGAAGAAAAAGAAAUAUACGAAUUGCCUUUUUAUGGUAGGGUUAAAUUAGCAAGCGCUAAAAACUUACAACUAAUAUUAAAAAAGUGUGUUUUUAGUAGUACCAAAAAACAUUUGUUUUGGAAUAAAGGUUUAAACGAUGUGAUUGAUUACGUAACUAAUGAACACAUUUCCCAAAUUUGUCAGAGUCGACACGAACGCAAAAAGAAGAAAAAGAAAAAAAAAAAGAAAAAAAAAAAAAACACUAGCAACGGUAAGGACAGUCCCAUAUACACUCACGACGGCAUUCACGGCGGCAAUCACGACGGCAUUCACGGCGGCAAUCACGACGGCAUUCACGGUGGCAAUCACGACGGCACCCAUGCCGGUACUCAUGUCGGCAUUAACAACAUUACUUAUAAGGAUGAACAAAAAAUAACUACUAUUAGCAGAAGCUACCAAAAUAGCUAUAUGAAUACUGGUAAAGAAAACGACAGAAUAUUUGUUUCUCCACCUAAAACACUUUUUGAUAAUAUUCAAAAUAAUUUAUCAAAUAAAAAUAAAGAAAGCUU